rnacentral:sRNA from 1 species
CUACAUUUGCUUUGCUAACAUACGGCGUUACAACUGCUGGACCUUCAUCACAGAUACAAUGAGUUGGCGAACAUGAUACCCCGACGUAAGCUGUCGCUGGCCGCUCCGAACUUGUUCUCAAGGUUAACCUCACCAACAGCUUGAGCAGCAGCUUUCAACUGUCAUAACAUAUUCAGAUCUUCUAGCCAGCCGUAUGAUACUUCCUUCAAAAAUGUCAGUCAUUUCUAUCACCUCUCCAAAAUGCUGACAAACCUUUGACCAACAGUAUAUGACAUCCAUCAGGUAGGGCCUACAAGUUGAUUCGACAUAUUCUUCAACAUUUACCUCUAAUUUGCAUUCUUUUUAACAAAUAUGCACCUCAGCUAUUUUUCUCGCAGCCUCCUGUAGCUGCAUCAUUGGUGUAGAAAGCUCACUUCUCAGGCGUAUUUGUUCACUAGACUUCUCACAAGGUAUAAAGCAGCUAGCAAGGGAAGCAACUUGAUGAUGAUCAAGAUCGUUAAAUACUGGUACCAUUAAACAUAAGUUCAGUGAUAAGCAGCUCAUCCCCUGUGUCUAUUAAAC